rnacentral:rRNA from 1 species
ACCCGCUGAACUUAAGCAUAUCAAUAAGCGGAGGAAAAGAAACCAACAGGGAUUGCCCUAGUAACGGCGAGUGAAGCGGCAACAGCUCAAAUUUGAAAUCUGGCGCAAGCCCGAGUUGUAAUUUGUAGAGGAUGCUUCUGGGCAGCGGCCGGUCUAAGUUCCUUGGAACAGGACGUCACAGAGGGUGAGAAUCCCGUAUGUGAUCGGUUGGCACCCGCUACGUAGCUCCUUCGACGAGUCGAGUUGUUUGGGGAUGCAGCUCUAAAUGGGAGGUAAAUGCCUUCUAAAGCUAAAUACCGGCCAGAGACCGAUAGCGCACAAGUAGAGUGAUCGAAAGAUGAAAAGCACUUUGGAAAGAGAGUUAAAAAGCACGUGAAAUUGUUGAAAGGGAAGCGCAUGCAACCAGACUUGUCCGCGGUGUUCCGCCGGUCUUCUGACCGGUCUACUCGCCGCGGGCAGGCCAGCAUCAUCUGGGAGCGCCGGAUAAAGGUAGCGGGAAUGUGGCCCCUCGGGGUGUUAUAGCUCGCUACACAAUACGGCGCCUCCCGGGUGAGGUCCGCGCUUCGGCUAGGAUGCUGGCGUAAUGGUUGUAUGCGGCCCGUCUUGAAACACGGACCAAGGAGUCUACCAUCUAUGCGAGUGUUCGGGUGUCAAACCCCUACGCGCAAUGAAAGUGAACGGAGGUGGGAACCGCAAGGUGCACCAUCGACCGAUCCUGAUGUCUUCGGAUGGAUUUGAGUAAGAGCAUAGCUGGUGGGACCCGAAAGAUGGUGAACUAUGCCUGAAUAGGGUGAAGCCAGAGGAAACUCUGGUGGAGGCUCGCAGCGGUUCUGACGUGCAAAUCGAUCGUCAAAUUUGGGUAUAGGGGCGAAAGACUAAUCGAACCAUCUAGUAGCUGGUUCCUGCCGAAGUUUCCCUCAGG